UACAGAGGUCUCAAGCGUUUGUUCGGAUUCAUUGGGCGUAAAGGGCGCGUAGGCGGCGGGGUAAGUCGGGUGUGAAAUCUCAGAGCUCAACUCUGAAACUGCACUCGAUACUGCUCUGCUUGAGGACUGGAGAGGAGACUGGAAUUCACGGUGUAGCAGUGAAAUGCGUAGAUAUCGUGAGGAAGACCAGUGGCGAAGGCGGGUCUCUGGACAGUUCCUGACGCUGAGGCGCGAAGGCCAGGGGAGCAAACGGG
rnacentral:rRNA from 1 species